CCCUUAGAUGUUCUGGGCCGCACGCGCGCUACACUGAUUCAUGCAACAAGUUUUGUCCUUGGCUGAUAGGCCUGGGUAAUCUUUGAACGUGAAUCGUGAUGGGGAUAGAUGAUUGCAAUUAUUCAUCUUCAACGAGGAAUUCCUAGUAAACGCAAGUCAUCAGCUUGCAUUGAUUACGUCCCUGCCCUUUGUACACACCGCCCGUCGCUCCUACCGAUUGAAUGUGUUGGUGAGGAGCUCGGAUUGGCAGCAGUUGGUGGUUCGCCACCGGCUAUUGCUGAGAAGUCCUCCAAACCGCCCCAUUUAGAGGAAGGAGAAGUCGUANCA
rnacentral:rRNA from 1 species